ensembl:lncRNA
CAGGGGACGGGAGACGGAACAGGUGACGGGUCACGCAGUUCGGGACCGGUUCAGUGGAAAUACUGAAUCAGAUCUGAUUAUUUUUUCCAGUGUGCUUUAAAAGUUUUAGGAGGGGAACAUGACCCUGGAGUGCUGUCUCAUUUCCCACUCGAACUUAUGCUGCUUUGUGGAAAGUGCCUGUGUGUGAUGAGAAAACCCGUCAUUAUGGGGUGUGUGUGUGUCUGUGUGUGUCUGUGUGUGUCUGUGUGUGUGUGUGUGUCUGUGAGACAUCAUCUAAUGUUUACCGUUUAUGGGACAGCUGGACUGUGACUUCCUGUCUGUGUGUGUGUGAUUGUGGCGUAGAGACUGGAAGUGGG